GUUCAUUUCCAUUUAUUGAACUCCAGAAUAUUAAUAUAAUUCACAGAACAUUAACACUUAUAUUCUUAAGAAAACACUAUUUCUUUACGCUGCUUCACAUUUACUGCAAGAUAUUCAGCGCUAAAAAUCUAAACUUAGCCUACAAUAAUAAUACAAAAGCAGAACGCUUUAUCUUUAAGCUAGUAUUGAAAUUAACAUUGAUGAAUAAAAGUCAAUUGUCCAAACAAAUAGCUACUAUUUCUAAAAGAUGUCUACUACCAGUAAAUAUUAUAUACCCUUUACAAUUAUUUUGUUCAUGUAACAAAAGCCCCCCUCACCAAAAACGACAAUUCUUAUAGUCUUACAAUAGUAAUGCGUUAUGCUUGAAUAUUAUGGUAACUGAAAGUUUG